AGGGUGCCGGGCCGGUGGGUGCCGACGAUGCCCGGCCGGGACACCAGGUGCCGCCAGGUGCCCCCCUCGCACAGCCGCGCCCCGACAUUGCCGACGCCGGCGAACCGGAGCACCGCGGCACCGGUGUCCACCUGGGCCACCGCGACGGCCGCGCCGCGCGUACCGGACAACGCCGUGUCGAGCCGCCGCAGCGCCUCGACGGGCGGCAGAUGGGCCGCACCGCGCAGCGCCUCGACGGCUGCGGUGGAGGCGCGGGACGCCUCCGGGCCGUGGCCCAGCCCGUCGGCGAGCAUCAGCGUCACCCGGUCCCCGGACCGGGCCCACGCCCAGGCGUCGCCCGAGUACUCCGCGCCGCCGAACGGCACGUUCACACCGCCUGCCCGCACCCGGGCCGCCGGCCCGCGAUCGCGGGCCGUGACGCCGAGCGCGGGGCCGAUCCGGGCGACCACCACCGUGCCCCGGCCGGGGACGCUGUGCAGGUCGAAGUCGUCGGACAGACGCGCGCAGGUGCCCAGACCCGCGCCGAGGGAGUCCGACGUGGUGAAACCGUCGCUCAGCGCGGCGGACACGUCGGCGAUACCGGGGCCGUGGUCGACCGUCGCGACCUGCACGAGCAGGUUCGCCUCCCGGCCGGCGGCGAGGACCGCGGGGGCGACCACGUCGAUCAGCACCUGACCGCCCCCGGCGUGCUUGAGCAGAUUGGUCGCCAGCUCGGUCGCCACCAGCGCCGCCGUGGCGGUGCGCUGCUCGUUCAGCCCGGCGGCGGCCGCCGCGUGCUCCGCGGCCACCCGGGCGUCGCGGACCCGGGUGGAGUCGUGCACCGGCACGUCCCACACGCGUGGCAUCAGGACUCCUCACGCGGGCGAGGUGCCCGUCCCACCCAGGAGGUGACCCGUACGGUCGUCCCGGCACCCGGGUCGCUCUCGAUCGAGAAAUCGUGCACCAGGCGGCGCGCCCCGCCCAGCCCCAUGCCCAACCCGCCGCCCGAGGUGAAACCGUCGCUGAGCGCCUGCUCCAGGUCCGCGAUGCCCGGCCCCUCGUCGCUGAAGGUCAGCCGGAGCCCCUGUGUGCCGCUCUCGGUGACCGUCUCCGUCUCCAUCGUCCCGCCACCGCCGUACACCAGCGUGUUGCGGGCCAGUUCGCUGGCCGCCGUGACCAGUUUGGUCUGGUCCACCAGACCGAAGCCGAGCUGUGCGGCCGCCUGCCGCACGUGCUGACGUACCCACACCAGAUCCAUGUCCGAACGGAUCGGCAGGCGGGCCUGGGCGCCCGCGGUGGUGGGCAUCACAAACUCUCCCGGCGCAGCCCGCCGUAGCGGUGCGACGGGGCGUGCUCGGCGAGCAGCUCCAUGGCCACCUCGGUACUGAGUGCCGUGUGCACCCCGGGCAGCGUCAGGCCCAGCUCUACCAGGGUGAUGGCCACCGCCGGCCGCAUGCCGACGACCACGGUCCGCGCGGCCAGCAGCUCGGUCUGCCCGGCGAUCUCGGCCAGCACCCGGCCGAGGAAGGAGUCGACGAUCUCCACCCCGGAGAUGUCGAUGACCACGCCCCUGGCCCCGCUGCUGGAGAUCGUCUCGGCGAGGUCCUGCUGGAGCUGCUGGGCCGUGCUGUCGUGCAGGUCCCCCUGGAGGGUGACCAACAGCACGUCGCCGAGCCGGAGCACUGGGACAUGACCUGUCACGGGCCCUUGGUGCGGCCCCGGGAAUGCCCCGUUCACCGCGUGACCGUGCCGUUCGUGCCAGGGUUCACGAUCCCGACCCCGAGCUGGUGCAGCACGUAUCCCAGCGCGUUGGCGAGGCUCGCCCGGGUCACCACGGUGCCCAGGUCCAGCCCGAGGUGGACCAUCGUCUGUGCGAUCGCGGGCCGGAUGCCGGAGACGAUGCACUCGGCGCCCAUCAGCCGGGCCGCCGCGACCGUCUUCAUCAGGUGCUGGGCCACCAGCGAGUCGACGGUCGGGACCCCGGUGAUGUCCAGGAUCGCGUACCGUGCCUGCUGCUCCACGAUGGACUCCAGCAGGGUCUCCAUCACGACCUGGCUGCGGGCGCUGUCCAGCGUGCCGAUCAGCGGAACGGCCACGAUGCCGUCCCAGAGUUUGAUCACCGGAGUGGCCACCUCCAGCAAUUGCAGCCGUUGGCGGUCGAUGAGCGCCUGCCCCUCGCUGAGCGCCGUCUGCAUGACGACGACCCGCAGGGUGCCCAUCAGCACGCUCAGCGUGGUGACACACGCCCGGGAGUGCUCGGCGGAGGCGUCCGGCAGAUCGGCCAGCAGCAGGUUCUCCACCGGCGGGCGCAGGGCGGCCAUUUCACCCGACACCUGGGCGGUGCUCAGGCCCGCCCGGGAACGGGCCGCGCCCAUCCGCGCCAACUGCUCGCGCACCGUGGUGAACCCGGCGGCGUCCGGGUCCUCGACCCGCGCCGCGUCGGCGACUUGGGCCAGGGCGUCGACCACGGCCUUGCCCGCCUCCACCGCCUCGUCGCGAGAGACGGUGAACACAGCCCGGAACAAGGGCUCGUCCGCCCAUCGCUGGGCGAUCUGCUCACGGCGGCGCCGCAGAAAGUCCCUGACCUCGUGCGUCGGCGAUCCCGCCGUUCCCUCCGCCUGAUCCGGCACCUGUUCCACUCCUCAUCCGCGUUGCGCCGCACAGCGCCCAGGAGGCAAUGUGGCGGCGACGUGUCUCUGCCGGGCGUCAACUGUAACCACCCGCCGACCUCGUACGACACCUGCUCCCGCGUGAACGGUCCGGAUGGGCGUCGAGCAGGACAGGAACUCAGGCCUCGGGUAUCCGCGGCCCCUCCGGUUGCGCGUCGACGCGGGAGAGCGCCUCGUCGACGCUCUCGGAGACCGGCACCGUGAUGCUCACGCCUGUGAGGUCCAGCACCCGCCGCACCGCCGCGGUGGGGGAGAUGAUGUGCACGCUGCCCGGCAGCUCGCGGGCCUCCUGGUAGACGCGCAGAAUGAUGUUCAUGCCGGAGGAGUCCAUGAACGGGACCUCCGACAGAUCCAGCAGGAAGUGCCGCCGCCCGUGGUGCAGUUGGUUGGCCAGAUGGUGCUGGAACUCGGUCGCGGUGUCGACGUCCAGGUAACCCGUCACCUUGAGCAGCGCGACCUCCUCCCGCUCCAGCGUCACCUCGACGGACAGCGGGUUC
rnacentral:rRNA from 1 species